GAACGCNGGCGGCGUGCUUAAUACAUGCAAGUCGAACGAAGCCCCUUUUCUUCGGACGAGGGUGUCUUAGUGGCGAACGGGUGAGUAACGCGUUGGUAACCUGCCCCAAAGUGGGGGAUAACAGUUCGAAAGGACUGCUAAUACCCCAUGUGAUCAUCAGGAUUAGAUGCUUGAUGAUGAAAGGAGUAAUCCGCUUUGGGAGGGGCCUGCGUCCCAUCAGCUAGUUGGUAGGGUAAUGGCCUACCAAGGCUUUGACGGGUAGGGGACCUGAGAGGGUGGCCCCCCACACUGGCACUGAAACACGGGCCAGACACCUACGGGUGGCAGCAGUAGGGAAUAUUGGACAAUGGGCGAAAGCCUGAUCCAGCAACGCCGCGUGCGCGAUGACGGCCUUCGGGUUGUAAAGCGCUUUUAGGGGAGAUGAGAAAGGACAGUAUCCCCUGAAUAAGCCUCGGCGAACUACGUGCCAGCAGCCGCGGUAAAACGUAGGAGGCAAGCGUUAUCCGGAUUUAUUGGGCGUAAAGCGCGUGCAGGCGGCUUGGUAAGUUGGAUGUGAAAGCUCCUGGCUUAACUAGGAGAGGUCGUUCAAUACUAUCAAGCUAGAGAAUGGGAGAGGGAAGUGGAAUUCCGGGUGUAGUGGUGAAAUGCGUAGAUAUCCGGAGGAACACCAGUGGCGAAAGCGGCUUCCUGGACCAUUUCUGACGCUAAGACGCGAAAGCUAGGGGAGCAAACGGGAUUAGAGACCCCGGUAGUCCUAGCUGUAAACGAUGUAGACUUGGCGUUGGCGGAGUUAAAUCUGCCAGUGCCGGAGCUAACGCGUUAAGUCUACCGCCUGGGGACUACNACCGCAAGGUUAAACU
rnacentral:rRNA from 1 species